UUGGAGAUGCUCUGACAAGGGCCACAUUGUGAUGGAUCAACUUUGAGGACAAAAUGUUCACUUUCUGCCUGAUAUACCUGUAUAUGUACCUAGAUGUUAGUGAUAAUCUCAAAAAGGUAAUUCUAAUAUUGUUAACAUAGCAUACCUGACCCAGUUCAGCCCAACCCUGCAUCGCUGCUAGUGGCUGUGGCAGACCCUCCCUUAUAUUAUUAUCGAUUCUUAUUGUUAUCAGUGGUGGUGAUUGUUUUAUUAAUAACUGCUUUGGGGAUGUUGUCCACCUUAUGCGUGCAUGCACACACACACCACUUAAACACAACAUUGAAAACAAAUGUCACUUUGCACUUAUUUUUUCUUAUUAAUUGUCCUGUCCAUUUAUUGUUUUGUUUUCCCUGUAUUUCCCUGUGUAUUUUGUCUUGCAAUGGAAAAAAAAAAUUAUUAAAAAAACCACAGGUGCCCACACAUGUCUAGUAGCUGCCGGUGUGGGGGUUAUACAUAGAAAAUAAUAGGGACAGCAGUUUUUAAAA